rnacentral:tRNA from 1 species
GCGGGUGUAGCACAAUGGUAGUGCAGCAGCUUCCCAAGCUGACUACGUGGGUUCGAUUCCCAUCACCCGCUCCA